UGUCUUCAUGUCCAGCUCUGGGGGAGAAAGGAUGGGGGCAGCUUUGUCUCAUGGCACAGCAGUGAAGAGAAGCUCGGUUUCCUGCACACAAAGGAGGCUGUGCUGCUCUUACUCAGCUGAGUGAGAGUGGUAAGCACACCACGAGGUUCACAUCCCAGACAGCAAAGUACCACUGAAUGAUUAAAGGAAAUUCAAAGAAAAAGGUCAGAUGGAGACAGUGCUUCAUUCUCAGUCAGAAGAUUAAAGCUGCAUAAGAAAACCAAUAUGAUGCUGCUUGUAGAUUCUUUCUGAGUGUAGUUUUUGCAACAUUUCUCAAUCUCUGUAUGAAAGGGGCAAGACCUUAUUUCAAGAGCAAUGGGUAAACACUCAGAAACAAGCAGCUGCAUGUAAAACAUUCCUCCUUGCUGAAGGCACUCUCCCAGUACCUGUUCAGUUGUAGAUAUCAAUUGUAAUAAUUCUUUGGGAACAGUUUAAUUUUAGUUUUCAAACCACA